AUAUAUAUAUUCUAUUCCAUACUACACUAUACUUUAAUUAAUUACAUUAAACAUGAUUUUAGAUAGACCAGGUCCGUUUCUAAACUUCUUCAAGCUCUCAUUAGUGUAAAGCAUAUUUCUGAGUUGGUGUCCUAUACUGCUGUCCCACUUUAUCCUUGAGUAAAUAUCCAAGCUAAUUUAGGUCUCAAUACAAUUUUUUACUUCCUAAAAGACCAAAUGAUGUCUAAAAAUGUAUCCUCGUGUCUCUGACAUUUACACAGAUUCAAUGUAACUAAAUAAUAAAUAAAUGCAACACCAAUGUUAAGAUGUUUACUAACAUGAGGACUUUUUUAUUUGCUUUUUAGAGAAAAGCUGUCAGUUGGUGAGUGUAGCUGGUGCAUAGAAGUCAGGAGAGCAGAGAGAGAGCAGAGAUGAGUGGACAAAGCCCUUUACUAAGGCAAUCAUUUGCACAGAACGCAACCUCAUUACAAAACAAAUGUCCAACGAACAAGCGAGGCAGCACAAAGUACAAAACCCAAGUACAAAGUACCGGCUGCCACAAAGCACGGGUAAUAAAACAAAACCUGGCACAAACCAGCAGGAAGUGUGCCAAUCUUGACAAUAAACAAUUCCCCACACAGACAUGGGGGGGGGGACAGAGGGUUAAAUACACGACAAGUAAUGAGGGAAAUGUAAACCAGGUGUGUGGGAAAACAAGACAAAACAAAUGGAAAAUUAAAUGUGGAUCGGCGAUGGCUAGACGACCGGUGACGUCGACCGCCGAACGCCGCCUGAACAAGGAGAGGAAGCGACUUCGGCGGAAGUCGUGACAAAAGCAGUGAGAAUGCUGAUGAACAGAAGUCUCUAAGGAUUUACUUGACCUGUUAAUCUUACAUUCAGUUAAUAAAUUAUUUCAGUGAAAAGUUAUGUUGAUUGUUGAAAAGUUAUGUUGAUUGUUUUAAGUGAUGAUUUGUCUUCAGUGAUGAUUUGGCCCUGAGUGAAUCCUUAGCAUGUAGGCAGGGGCCUUAGGAAACAAGGUACAAGCAGGUUUCCUGUAGACUGACCUUAAUCAAUAACCUCAGCUUUAGGAUUUUUUGUUUAAGUGGAACUGGAGAUAACAGAGCUGGACCUGGCUAGAUCUGAACAUUGCACCAUAAUGUUUAUGAUUCAGUACAAUUGAUGUUAUUCAUUAAGAGAAUUGCCAUUUAGUACUUAAAGGGUCCAGAGUUCCAGUGGUGUUGUGGGACUUUGACUGUGAACUCAGGAUGUUGUCUAAACAAAUAUUGACUCAAUUUGGAGAAAACAUCUAAAACUUAGGUAGCAUAUGAGAAAUAUUGAUAAAGGUGAUAUAAUAUUUGUUCAUGCAGUAAAAUUAUUCAAAUUGAUUUGCCCAUUAUGUGUGAUCUCCAGUGUCAGCAAGGUUAAAGACCUUUACGAAAUACUGUAAUUAUACCAAUACAUGACAGAGAGAAAAAAUGACGUGACUGGGACAUCCAACCUCAGGAAUGGCCCCAAUGUCAUGUCAGGUAGGCCUUUGUUUGUUUUUGUGGCUCGAGUUAUGCCUGCUGGUAACUGGGGGGAACUGUUAUCUUACUGAUCCUUCCUCACUUCCUGACCCUUCCUCUCUGGUUAUCAUCCUCCUCAUUCAGGUGGAACUCGAUGUCCUACUAGAAUGCAGCUUCGUUCUUCACACGGCGGAUUGUGCCUUCUGUGAGAUGUUGGUCAUCGACCCCCAGGGAGAGGCUGUGUAUAGACAGGCUGCAGGAGCGGAGGCCUUCCAGACUGCAAUGGAGAAGAGAAUGAGCAGCACAGCUGUGUAUGGGGACAUCUUUGUGUACAGUCCAGUCCUGACUUCCAAUGGGUCAGAGAUAUGCUCAUUUUGGCCCAAUACAAACAAAGCAAAGACAUUAUGUACGCUCUGGCAAACACUGUCAGGAAGUUUCACCCAGGACAUCCCACCCCUGAGGUCAAAUAGGUGAAAGAGUUCAUGGAUACCAUGUUGGGAGACUGCUCAAGGGAUGAGGAUAUGACUUUCCUGAUACUAAGGGUCAGAAAAACUCUCUUGGAGGGAUACCAAGAUGCUGAGAGCCCCAUCCAGAAACGUGUGGCAGCUUAUCUGGUGCUUAUGAAGAGUCCUGACAAUGUGCUGUUUAGCAAGGUGAUCACCGUGCUGAAGGACGAGCAGGACCCACAGGUCAGGAGCUUUGUGGCCUGCCGCCUUGACAACAUCUGCCACUUUGUUGAUCCCAAAAUGCAACAGUAAGUGACGGUUUUCUACAUGAUAUGUUCAGUCACUCCCUCUUCAUUUACAUGAUUCAUUUAUCACAGUGGUGGAAGGUGUUGAUGUUUUCUGUAUCUCCUACUGUAUAUGUAUUUGACACCUGGCUAAGGAAAUCAUCUUCAUUGAGUUUCUAUUUUUCACAGUUGCAUAAAGUACUUUAGUAAAAAAUAUUUAAAGUACUAGUUAAGUCGUUUUUUGGGGUAUCUGUACUUAACUAUUUAUAUUUUUGACAACUUUUACUUUUACUUCACUACAUUCCUAUAAAAAAUAAUUUCCUUUUUACUCCAUACAUUUUCAC